rnacentral:rRNA from 1 species
UACAGAGGCCACGAGCGUUAGGCGGAAUCACUGGGCUUAAAGCGUGUGUAGGUGGAUGACUAAGUACCUUGUGAAAUCCCACGGCUCAACCGUGGAACUGCUUGGUAUACUGGUUGUCUUGAGGCACUCAGGGGCGAGCGGAACAGAUGGUGGAGCGGUGAAAUGCGUAGAUAUCAUCUGGAACGCCAAUGGUGAAGACAGCUCGCUGGGGGGUGUACUGACAACUGAGACACGAAAGCCAGGGGAGCAAACGGG